CUGUCAGCACUGGAGACUGAAGUCUUCAGUUUAUCUAUAGAAUAGGUACAGAACAUCACUGGGAAUGGGACUACAAUCUUUUCCAACCAAUGUGCCUAAGUCUUCUUCUGGAGGGGCCCCACUAAAGGUAAGAGAAUAGGUCUGUCUCCAGGACAAUCUUGCUUCCCU
rnacentral:sRNA from 1 species